rnacentral:rRNA from 1 species
UCAGACGAUGCGUCAUGCAUAUCAUAAGCGGAGGAAAAGAAACUAACAAGGAUUCCCCUAGUAACGGCGAGUGAAGCGGGAAGAGCUCAAAUUUGAAAUCUUAAAGGGUUUCCCUUUACGAAUUGUAGUUUAAAGAAGUGUUUUCUGUUGAGGUUUUGGUAAAAGUUCUUUGGAAUAGGACAUCAUAGAGGGUGAGAAUCCCGUAUUUGACCUUUACUUUCAACUUUGUGAUACACUUUCAAAGAGUCGGAUUGUUUGGGAAUGCAGUCCAAAAUGGGUGGUAAAUUUCAUCUAAAGCUAAAUAUUGGCGAGAGACCGAUAGCGAACAAGUACCGUGAGAGAAAGAUGAAAAGAACUUUGAAAAGAGAGUUAAACAGUACGUGAAAUUGUCAAAAGGGAAGCGUUUGACACCAGUGUUGUUUUUCUGAAAAUCAAUUAAAGAACUGUUUAUGCUAAGCUGUUUAGACUUUAUCAGCUAUCUGUUUAGUUUUGAGCUUUUCUUUAAUGCACUUUUCAGUUAACAAGUCAACAUCAAUUUCUUUUGCUGUAAAAAAGCUUGAGGAAGGUGGCUUGAGAUUCGUCUUAAGUGUUUAUAGCCUCUUGCCUAUGCAGUCGGAGAGAUUGAGGUCUGCAGCGUAGAUCCUUCGGGGCUAAAUGCAUUUGUGCUAAGUUAUAGCAUUUUAUAGACAACUUGUUGACUAUGAUUUGUCUUGUAGCUUACUCGCUUAUGUUAUUUUACCUACGCUUAGGAUGUUGACACACGCGCGUGCUCG